rnacentral:rRNA from 1 species
AAACCAACAGGGAUUGCCCUAGUAACGGCGAGUGAAGCGGCAACAGCUCAAAUUUGAAAUCUGGCUCUCGGGCCCGAGUUGUAAUUUGUAGAGGAUGCUUUUGGUGAGGUGCCUUCCGAGUUCCCUGGAACGGGACGCCAUAGAGGGUGAGAGCCCCGUCUGGUUGGACACCGAGCCUCUGUAAAGCUCCUUCGACGAGUCGAGUAGUUUGGGAAUGCUGCUCUAAAUGGGAGGUAUAUGUCUUCUAAAGCUAAAUACUGGCCAGAGACCGAUAGCGCACAAGUAGAGUGAUCGAAAGAUGAAAAGCACUUUGAAAAGAGAGUUAAAAAGCACGUGAAAUUGUUGAAAGGGAAGCGCUUAUGACCAGACUUGGGCUUGGUUGAUCAUCCGGCGUUCUCGCCGGUGCACUCUUCCAGUUCAGGCCAGCAUCAGUUUGCUUCGGGGGAUAAAAGUUUCGGGAAUGUGGCUCCUCCGGGAGUGUUAUAGCCCGUUGCAUAAUACCCUGAUCCAGACUGAGGUUCGCGCAUUUAUGCAAGGAUGCUGGCGUAAUGGUCAUCAGCGAC